AAGUCGUAACAAGGUUUCCGUAGGUGAACCUGCGGAAGGAUCAUUAACGAGAGAGGGUCCUCCCGGGCCCGACCCUCCCACCCCGUGUGUACGUACCUCUGUUGCUUCGGCGGGCCCGCGGGUCCCACUCGGGACUCGCCGCCGGCCCCGGCCGGUCCGCACCCGCCAGAGGCCCCCAUCAAACCUGAUUGUGCCAGUGGAGUCUGAGUGCAACGCAAUAACUAAAACUUUCAACAACGGAUCUCUUGGUUCUG
rnacentral:misc_RNA from 1 species